GGCCUCCAAGAGGCACAAACUGGAGGCAUUGGCCAAGAGGCUUGGCUGUGAUGGUAAGAUAUUUGUUCCCUUGUAUUUUAUUUGGUCAAUGACAUUUAUUUGAUUUUGAUUUUAUUUUGGUAGUAAUUUAAGUUUUGAUUUAUGUUUUUUCUUCUACAGUGGCCAAGAUUGAGGGUUGGUUCCGAAAUCAGCGAACGGCUGUUGGGAAGCUGAUAAAGUGUACGAAGAGUGGAUCGGCGGCUCACAACAGGACAUCGAGACAGGAGUGGCAGUUGAAGUUGUUCACUUUUUUGCAGCAUUACAUCACACCCAGGACAUACAACACAGAGUCCACAGCGCUUGGGAAGGCCUCUUCAUCACACAAUGUACACAGCAAGUCCCGAGAGUGACAACGAAGAGUGCCCACAGUCCCCCGCCAGUUUAAGUGUGGCUUCAGGAGGCACCAGGCUGGACAAGCGGGCAAAGACCAAGCCACCUAGAAGAUGUGAUGCUGAAGUACUUUGAGCAGCCACUGCCCAGUCAGGACAUCUGCAAACAGUUGCAGACUCUUUCCAGACCAAUGGAUACCAAGGAGGCUUUCGGGCAGUACAUUACCCAGUACAUGCGCAAGAUUCCCGACAGCAGGUGGGACCAGUUCACCAUGGAUGCUCUGCAGCUGCUAAGUAGAUACUCCAGGCCUGAAGGGGACCAGUGACAGUCGCAGCAGUGGGGCCAGGUUCGCUACACGCAGCAGCAGCAGCAGUGGCCACUACCAGCAGUAUUGCAGCAGCUUUGGACACCGGCUCAGGCGCAGUUCCAUCCGCCAAUAGUGUCGGUGGCCUCUUGCACUAUAAUACACAUGCUUUGAAGAUUAAUUUAGGUAUCUAUAUGCUUAUGUAAUUAAUAUUAUAUAUGCUGAAUUUAAUGUAUAUUUCAGCUAACGACGCCCAGAAGUGAGAAUAUUGCAAGCCCAUCAUCGCUGUCAGGCCUUUGACAUGCUCGCUGAUAAGGACAACGACAUCCCGUUACCCCCUCCCACCACUCAGCAGGAGUAGGAGCAGGAUAGUAGCUCGGAGUCGGAGUCAUAGUGUGUUUCAGUGCUCAAACUGUUGGGCUAUUUAGUUGGAGUACUUGUGUUUUAUUAUUUGACUUUUGCAUUGUAAAUUAACAUAUACUCAUAUAAAAACAUCAAAUGAGAUGGUCAUGGUACA